rnacentral:rRNA from 1 species
AGCAGCCGCGGUAAUCCCAGCUCCAAUAGCGUAUAUUAAAGUUGUUGCAGUUAAAAAGCUCGUAGUUGAAUUUCGGAAUCUGUCCGUUGGUCGGGCUUCACUGUCCGUACUGAUGUGAUGGGUUCUUACCUUCUGAAUAACCAUCAUGUCAUUAAUUUGGUGUGUUGGGGAAGCAGGACUAUUACCUUGAAAAAAUUAGAGUGCUCAAAGCAGGCUAGUGCCUGAAUACAUUAGCAUGGAAUAAUAAAAUAGGACGGCAUGGUUCUAUUUUGUUGGUUUCUAGGAUCACCGUAAUGAUUAAUAGGGAUAGUUGGGGGCAUUAGUAUUCAAUUGUCAGAGGUGAAAUUCUUGGAUUUAUUGAAGACUAACUUCUGCGAAAGCAUUUGCCAAGGAUGUUUUCAUUAAUCAAGAACGAAAGUUAGGGGAUCGAAGACGAUCAGAUACCGUCGUAGUCUUAACCAUAAACUAUGCCGACUAGGGAUCGGACGAUGUUAAUUUUAUAAUGACUC